UACAGAGGAUGCAAGCGUUAUCCGGAAUGAUUGGGCGUAAAGCGUCUGUAGGUGGCUUUUUAAGUCCGCCGUCAAAUCCCAGGGCUCAACUCUGGACAGGCGGUGGAAACUACCAAGCUGGAGUACGGUAGGGGCAGAGGGAAUUUCCGGUGGAGCGGUGAAAUGCGUAGAGAUCGGAAGGAACGCCAACGGCGAAAGCAAGGUCCUGGACUCGUCCUGACGCUGAGGCGCGAAAGCCAGGGGAGCGAACGGG
rnacentral:rRNA from 1 species